rnacentral:snoRNA from 12 species
UCCUCCUACAAAGGCGUGUCUGUGGUUCCCUGUCCUUGUACACGUAAGAAUUGGAGGCAAAGAAAUGUGGACUUGGAGAAGGCUGGGGCCAGCUCGCUACUUGCAGGCUCAAGCUCAUCCAUCCCACAUCG